CAGUUCGGAUCGAGUCUGNAACCCGACUCCGUGAAGCUGGAUUCGCUAGUAAUCGCGCAUCAGCCAUGGCGCGGUGAAUACGUUCCCGGGCCUUGUACACACCGCCCGUCAAGCCAUGGGAGCCGGGGGUGCUUGAAGUGCGUCGCCGCAAGGCGCGCCCUAGAGCAAAACCGGUGACUGGGGCUAAGUCGUAACAAGGUAAC
rnacentral:rRNA from 1 species